rnacentral:tRNA from 1 species
AGUGGUUAAGAGCUUGACUGAUAAUCAAAAGGUCAGUGGUUAGAAUCUACUAGCCACUC